UAGCAAAUAGUCCCUUGCAACCUUCUGCUAAGAGUCUCAGCUCACAAACUCUCCUUAUGGUUUGCAGCUCUGGAGAUGAGUGUGCUGUGCGCCUGCCCUCCCCUGUCUGCCCAUUUCCAGCUGGUGCUGAGACUGUGUAGUGGUCUGCAGUGUUCCUGAGCUCCACUAACUUCAAGUUACUGCCUUUGCAGUGUUUGUCCAAGGAGUUUAACACACAGGCUAUGGUGUGACCAUUUGGAGAUGACGAUUUAUACAGUCAAUAAGAUGUGAACUGAAUGGUGAAUCGGGCCCCUGGAGGAAAUUGUCUUGUCACAGUGUGUAAGGAUCUGUGGGAGCAUCGCAUCAUCACUGCUGUGUGAUUGCAAUAUAGGCAACUUCUCUGCUGCACUGCAAGGUGAGAGGACUUCAGCUUGGAGAUGCAUCUCCUCAGGCUCUGGAAACACAUAUCUCCUGCUGCAGGAGCACUGCAUGUCCAUUUACAGCUUCUGGAGGACUCCACUAAGCUUACUUCCAUGUUGGAGCUCUGUUUGAUGAAGAGGGGAAAAAGUUCCUGAAGGCUGCAAGCCCUGGUUGCUGCAGCAGCUUCUGCUUCCUUCAUAAGGCUGUCUCUACCCUGCCUGGGGAAGCGCUCCUGCUGUCUGAGGUGCCGGAUGCAGGUGGAGAUGGGGUAAGCACAAAUAAAUCUGUAGUGAGCUUUGGAAAAUUUAUAGUGAAGCCAAUUUGGGCCAAGUUUGGUAGCUUAGUUUCUGAGUUUUAUUUACUUAUGUAUGUAAAUUGUACUUGCAGCUGCUACCUUUCUGCUCAAACCUUUGAAGUGUCAGGAAUUUCAAUCCCUCUACUGCUGGAGAAAAUGCAAGAUAUUGGUUAUGUGUCCUGAAUAGUGAAUGUUAGUGACAAAUCUGCAUUGGUGAAUGGUUUUGGUUUGCUGUCAUUCUGCUGGGUGCCAUAUAAACAUUCCUUUGGGAACUGACACAGGCUUCCUGUGUGGCUGAGAUACCUUAUCUGCCCCUUUUGAUGUUCUCUCUUCAUAAAUGCUGUGAUGGUGGCAUAGACUGAACUUUGCCUGUUCUCUCAGCUCCUAAAAACUCCUCAGUGUGGAGCUGCUUCCCUGCAGUUUCCCAGCACAGUUCUAGAAGAUGUUUGUGCCUUUGUGUGUCCCAUCCCCUGAUGCAGGCAGAGCUCUGCAGCCAGAGCAGUGCCUCGUGGUGAUGCAGUGCGGCAGAGAGGAUUGGCUGGGACCUGUACAUGGUGUGGUUGCAGCUGCACAGGGAGCUUUAGGCAUGGAGGAGUGCACAGGGUAACCACAAAUCAGGUCUGCAUGAUGCGUAUGUUGGUCAGAGAGCUGCCUCUUUGUCAAAACAUUUUUGGACAGGGGAAGGUAGAGUGGUGCUACAUGUUCUGACCAUUUGUUUAAAAGCGAUUUGAAUUGCAGGGCUCAAGCAUUCUGGUAGAAUAUUUUUCAGUAAAUCUUGAAUGUGGCAGUUACAUUUUCUAUACCAUGUGGGAAAAAGGAUUACAGUAUUUACUGCAGAGACAGGAAGAUUGAUUCUCACUUGGAAAAUCUGCCAGAUUUCUUGAUUUAGAGAACCGAUGAUUGGUGGAGUUCUUAGACUUGAUUCAUAUCAUGUUUCUUUUUUUCUUUUCCCUGCUUGUUCUUAUGAUAACAUGGACUAGUCUUAUUCCGAAUGAUUCUUUUUUCGUAUGAUGAACAUUGUUUUCUUUGGAUACUGAAGUCAAAACUCUGUUCUCUAAUACCUGCUUGUUUGCAGUAAUGUGACUCAAUUUCACUUGCAUGAGGUCUAAACAAAGUUGCUGUGCUUUACAGAGAGACAACCCACACUUUUCUGUGCUGGAGACAGGCACACUAUUUCAAAAAACAACAAUCCUUCCCAAGGACAUGAUCUGAAAGCUUUACAAUCAUGUAAGCAAUCUAAACUCUUCAAUGCAUUUCUUCCAAAGCACUUCAGACCCGCUCCUACAUUUGCAGAUAAUUUGCCACAAGAGAAAGCAAGUUGCCCCAGCAUGGGCUGGGGUCCACACAGUGGGCUUAAUAAUACGAUUAAAUAACUUAAAUAAGAUUUGUUACUUUCAAAA